UACGUAGGGCGCAAGCGUUGUCCGGAAUUAUUGGGCGUAAAGAGCUCGUAGGCGGUUUGUCGCGUCUGUCGUGAAAGCUUGGGGCUUAACCCCAAGUCUGCGGUGGAUACGGGCAGGCUAGAGUUCGGUAGGGGAGACUGGAAUUCCUGGUGUAGCGGUGAAAUGCGCAGAUAUCAGGAGGAACACCGGUGGCGAAGGCGGGUCUCUGGGCCGAUACUGACGCUGAGGAGCGAAAGCGUGGGGAGCAAACAGG
rnacentral:rRNA from 1 species